rnacentral:tRNA from 1 species
AAAAAAGAAUCUAAUAAAAUAGAUAUUAAUUUCGGCUUAAUAGUAAGAUAUUAAUUUAUCCUUUUUUA